CUCCCUGUAUCUCUGGGACCUGUCUGCUCUGGGAGUCUCCUUUCUGGCCAUGGAAGAGCCUAUUCUUGUUUACUGGCAAGGCAGUUGCCAUUUAGGUAGUACCAGAGUCUGACUUGUACAAGCAGCAUUC